rnacentral:tRNA from 1 species
GGGGGCGUAGCUCAGCUGGUAGAGCACCUGGUUUGCAACCAGGGGGUCGUCGGUUCGAGUCCGGUCGCCUCCACCA